UGGGGAAUAUUGCACAAUGGGGGAAACCCUGAUGCAGCAACGCCGCGUGAAGGGUGAAGGUUUUCGGAUCGUAAACUUCUAUCAACAGGGACGAAGCAAAUGACGGUACCUGAAUAAGAAGCCCCGGCUAACUACGUGCCAGCAGCCGCGGUAAUACGUAGGGGGCAAGCGUUAUCCGGAAUUACUGGGUGUAAAGGGAGCGUAGGCGGCACGUCAAGCCAGAUGUGAAAGCCCGGGGCUUAACCCCGUGGAUUGCAUUUGGAACUGGCGAGCUAGAGUACAGGAGAGGAAAGCGGAAUUCCUAGUGUAGCGGUGAAAUGCGUAGAUAUUAGGAAGAACACCAGUGGCGAAGGCGGCUUUCUGGACUGAAACUGACGCUGAGGCUCGAAAGCGUGGGGAGCAAACAGGAUUAGAUACCC
rnacentral:rRNA from 1 species